rnacentral:rRNA from 1 species
AGCGAACGCUGGCGGCAGGCCUAACACAUGCAAGUCGAACGAACUCUUCGGAGUUAGUGGCGGACGGGUGAGUAACACGUGGGAACGUGCCUUUUGGUUCGGAAUAACUCAGGGAAACUUGUGCUAAUACCGAAUGUGCCCUUCGGGGGAAAGAUUUAUCGCCAUUAGAGCGGCCCGCGUCUGAUUAGCUAGUUGGUGAGGUAACGGCUCACCAAGGCGACGAUCAGUAGCUGGUCUGAGAGGAUGACCAGCCACACUGGGACUGAGACACGGCCCAGACUCCUACGGGAGGCAGCAGUGGGGAAUCUUGCGCAAUAGGCGAAAGCCUGACGCAGCCAUGCCGCGUGAAUGAUGAAGGUCUUAGGAUUGUAAAAUUCUUUCACCGGGGACGAUAAUGACGGUACCCGGAGAAGAAGCCCCGGCUAACUUCGUG